rnacentral:rRNA from 1 species
CCUACGGGAGGCUGCAGUGGGGAAUAUUGGACAAUGGGGGCAACCCUGAUCCAGCCAUGCCGCGUGUGUGAAGAAGGCCCUCGGGUUGUAAAGCACUUUCAGUGAGGAAGAACGCCUGGUGGUUAAUACCCAUCAGGAAAGACAUCACUCACAGAAGAAGCACCGGCUAACUCCGUGCCAGCAGCCGCGGUAAUACGGAGGGUGCGAGCGUUAAUCGGAAUUACUGGGCGUAAAGCGCGCGUAGGUGGCUUGAUAAGCCGGUUGUGAAAGCCCCGGGCUCAACCUGGGAACGGCAUCCGGAACUGUCAAGCUAGAGUGCAGGAGAGGAAGGUAGAAUUCCCGGUGUAGCGGUGAAAUGAGUAGAGAUCGGGAGGAAUACCAGUGGCGAAGGCGGCCUUCUGGACUGUCACUGACACUGAGGUGCGAAAGCGUGGGUAGCAAACAGGAUUAGAUACCCUGGUAGUC